AUUCAGCUGACGAGUCUCAGAUAGGACGAAACGUGCGUUCUGAAU
rnacentral:hammerhead_ribozyme from 1 species